GUGAAACUGAUAAUUUUACGAUGAAUAGAAGGUUAUAGAUGUAGUGACUAAUUUAAUCUUCCAUUUAUGAUAAGUAUAAUACUCACA
rnacentral:pre_miRNA from 1 species